rnacentral:ncRNA from 1 species
UAGUGUCGUAUGUGUGUUGGCAUUUUCGUUUGAAGCCUUUAAGGGUGAGAAUCUGCCCCUGAUUACGAUCUCUUAUCCCUAGAUUUUUACUUUUUUAGGCUUUGCUACAUUUAGAGUAACGCUUAUCUGGG